CAUACACCUAGGUUGUGGGUUCAAUCCCUGGUUGGGGCACAUAUGGGAGGCAACCGAUUAAUAUUUCUCUCUCAUAUUGAUGUCUUUCUCCACCUCCCCACCCCCACUUUCCUCUCUUUAAGCAUGUCCUUAGGUGAGGAUUUUUUGUAAAAAGGCAGGCCCGGCCAGUGUAGCUCAGUGGUUGAUUGUCAACCCAGGAACCAACAAUAGGUUGCAGGCUUGAUCCCCAGGAGCGGGAUGUGCAAGAGGCAGACAAUCAAUGAUGUUCCUCUCUCAUUGAUGUUUCUAUCUCUCUAUCCCAUUCCCUUCCUCUCUCUCUAAAAAUCAAUAAAAACAUAUUUUUUUAAAAGGCAAAUUUUAUGUUAUGUUUACUUCCCCAUUUUGCUGGACUAUAUCUCCCAAUAGCUUCCUAAGAAAAGAUGCAUGGGAAAUAGGUUGUGUGAGUCCUGGUAUAUCUAUAAAUGUAUUAUUCUCCCCUUAGACUUGACUCUUAAUUUGGCCAAGAAUAGAAUUCUAGUUUAAAUCUUUUUUUUCCUGAGAAUUUUGACAGUCUUGCUCCAUUUUCUAGCUUCCAGUUUUGCUGUGAAGAUCAGUGCAUAUUUACUUAAAUUUUUUUGUAUAUGACUUUCUCCCCCAUUUCUGGAAGCUUCUAGGACCUUAUAUGUGUCUCUGGUGUUCUGAAAUUUUAAAAUGAUGUCCUCAGUGUGGUCUUGGUUCAUUCAUUAUGUACUAGGUGUUCUCCUAAAACUAGAAAUCUGUGUUACAGAUUACAAAAAAAGUUACAUUAUUAAGCCUAUAAAGUAGACAGGGUAAAACACAGCAUUUAAAGAUAUGAAAUUAAGUAAUAAAAACAUAAAUAAAGGUAUAAGGUCUAUACUAAUAAAAACAAUAUAAUCAUUAAAUUUGAAGAGGAUAGGAGGCAGAAGAGAGAAAAGGAAAAUAAAAUAAAAUUAAGUAUUCAUAGUGGAAAGUCAACAAACACUGACAGAAGAAAAAGAUUUAGUGUAUAAAAAUCAUAAUUAAAAUAAUCACCAGAACAAAAAUACAAGCUUCUAAAAAAGAAACCUAGUUCCUAGAUACAAAGCAAACACAGACUAAGUGUUUAAAAGAAACCAGAAAGACAACCCAAGACACUAGGAAUGCUCCUAAAAAAGAAAACUGAUUGGCUGGGGGACAGAUGAGAGAGAGACCACCUUUUCACACUAUGUUCUUAUGUCCCCUUUAAACUGUUUACUAUAUAUAUAUGUAUUCCCCAUUUUAAAAAAUUAAUAAAUCUAUAAUUUUAUACUAGGGAAAUUAAGUCAAGAUUUGUAUUUUAAAUAUAUUUUUAUGGAUUUCAAAGAGGAAGGGAGAGGGAGAGAGAGAGAGAGAAACAUCAAUGAUGAGAGAGAAUCAUUGAUCAAUGCCUCCUGCAUGCCCCCUACUAGGGACUGAGCCCAAAACUGGGCAUGUGCCCUGACCAGGUAUUGGCACUGUGACCUCCUGGUUCAUAGUCUAAUACUCAACAACUGAGCCACACCAGCCAGUCUCAAGAUCUGUAUUGUAAAUGUUGAGAUUCUCCAGCACAGCUCCUCUCAUCAUUUAAAAAAAUAUAUCUUUAUUGAUUUCAGAGAAGAAGGGAGAGGGAGAGAUAGAAACAUCAAUGAUGAGAGAGAAUCAAUGAUCAGCUGCCUCCUGCACACCCUCAACUAGGGAUCGAGCCCGCAACCCAGGCAUGUGCCCUUGACCGGAAUCGAACCCGAGACCCUUCAGUCGGCAGGCUGACGCUCUAUGCACUGAGCCAAACUGGCCAGAGCUCAUCAUUUUUUAAAACUGAUUUUUAGAGAGAGGGGAAGGGAGAGGGAGAGAGAGGGAGAAAGAGGGAGGGAGGGGGAGGGGGGGAGAGAGAGAGAGAGAGAGAGAGAGAGAGAAAUCAAUGUGAGAGCAAAACAUCAAUUGGUUGCCUCCUGUAUGCUCCCUGGGACCCGCAACCAAGGCAUGUGCCCUGACUGGGAAUCAAACUAGCAACCUUUUGGUGUACAUAAAUGAAAACAUAAAUUUAAAAAAUUAAUUACAAAGAUUUGGAAAAUAAAGUUAAGGAAAUCUCCUAAGAAAGUACGACAAAAUGACAAAAUGUACAAAUAGAAAAAAACCUAGAAGACCAAUCCAGGAAAGGAUAGGAGUUACAAGAGAGCAUGGAGAAAUAAUAGAAGAAAAUACCUCAGAUAUCAAGGACACAGAUUUCUAGUUUCAGGAGAACACCUAGUACAUAAUGAAUGAACCAAGACCACACUGAGGACAUCAUUUUAAAAUUUCAGAACACCAGAGACACAUACAAAAUCCUAGAAGCUUUUAGAAGGGGGUGGGGGGAGUCUAUAUACAAAAAAAUGUAAGUAACUAUGCACUGAUCUUCACAGCAAACCUGGAAGCUAGAAAAUAGAGCAAGACUGUCAAAAUUCUCAGGGAAAAAAAGAUUUAAACUAGAAUUCUAUUCUCGGCCAAAUUAAGAGUCAAGUCUAAGGGGAGAAUAAUACAUUUAUAGAUAUACCAGGACUCACACAACCUAUUUCCCAUGCAUCUUUUCUUAGGAAGCUAUUGGGAGAUAUAGUCCAGCAAAAUGGGGAAGUAAAAAGGAGACAGACUGAAGUUCCAGUAAAUAAGGGAUGAUGUAACACAGCAGAGUAUUAAAAGGAAGUUGAAAAGGACAUCUGUGGCCCUAGCCAGUUAGGAUAGAGCAUUGCCCUGAGGACUGAAGGGUCCCGGAUUCGAUUCUGGUCAAGGGCACAUGCUGGAGUUGUGGGCUCGAUCCCCAGUAGUGGUUGUGCAGACAGCAGCUGAUCAAUGAUUCUCUCUCAUCAUUGAUGUUUCUCUCUCUCUCCCUCUCUCUUCUUCUCUGAAAUCAAUAAAAAUACAUUAAAAAGAAAAAAAGCACAUCUGUGGCCCUGGCUGACGUGGCUCAGCAGCUAGGGCAUUGGCCCUGCACGGAAGGGUCUCGGGUUUGAUUCCCAGUCAGGGGCAUGUGCCUGGGUCCCUGCCCCCUCCACUCUAAAAAUCAAUGGAAAAAACAUCCUUGGGUGAGGAUUAACAACAACAAAAAUGACAUCUGUGCAGAAGGCCUAGAGAGCAAUUGUCCUGAUUAUAGCAGUAAAUUGUGGGGGAUUCGGAAGUUGAUAUUUUUGGAAGGGAAACAUUACAGAAAACAACAGAAUUGAUAAAUUAUUUGAGCACUGAGUGUUUUUUUAAAAAAAAUAUAUUUUAUUAACUUUUUACAGAGAGAAAGGGAAAGGGAUAGAGUUAGAAACAUUGAUGAGAGAGAAACAUCAAUCAGCUGCCUCCUACACACCCCCUACUGGGGAUGUGCCCACAACCAAGGUAUAUGCCCAUGACUGGAAUCGAACCUGGGACCCCUCAGUCCGCAGGCUGACGCUCUAUCCACUGAGCCAAACCGGUCAGGGCAUGAGUUUUUUUCUGAUGAAAAAGUUGAACAGGUCAGGUACACAGGUAAAAUAAGUAAAUAAAAAAUAAAGCAAUUAUUAACCCAAGGCAACAAAAAA